UACAGGGGGUGCAAACGUUGCUCGGAAUUAUUGGGCGUAAAGCGCGCGUAGGCGGCUACUUAAGUCGGAUGUGAAAGCCCUUGGCUCAACUGAGGAAGUGCACCCGAAACUGAGUGGCUAGAGUACGAAAGAGGGUCGCGGAAUUCCCGGUGUAGAGGUGAAAUUCGUAGAUAUCGGGAGGAACACCGGUGGCGAAGGCGGCGACCUGGGUCGAUACUGACGCUGAGGCACGAAGGUCAGGGGAGCAAACGGG
rnacentral:rRNA from 1 species